GGGGCUGUAGCUCAGUGGUAGAGCACUCGCCUAGCAUGUGUGAGGCCCUGGGUUCGAUCCUCAGCACCACA
rnacentral:tRNA from 1 species